ensembl:lncRNA
CAAAUAUUGUAGCUCAUGCUUCAUGAUUGUUGAGAGCACAGACACCCAGUGUAAAACCUGUGAAGCCAAUGUGUUGAUGGAGGGGUCAACCUCCUAUUUCAUUGAGGUUCCCAUUGAAGCACAACUGAAGAGAUUGUUUGCUCAGGAAGGUUUUGAAGAAAAACUUAAGUUCAGGUUUAAUAGACAUAAAAAGUGUCAUGACAGUAUUGAAGAAAUAUAUGACGGAAAAACCUAUCAGAAAUUUACUACUUGCAAUGGGCCUCUCAGUGAUUCCAGAAACAUUUCGUUAAUGUGGAACACAGAUGGCAUACCUAUUUUUAAGUCUUCAAAGUUUUCUGUUUGGCCUUUUUAUUGUGUCAUAAACGAGUUAAAUUUUGUUGAACGCACGAAACGAGAAAACAUGAUAUUUGCAGGUGUUUGGUUUGGGGAUUCAAAGCCGUCAAUGUUGACAUUCCUUGAACCACUGUGUGGCACUCUGAACAAAAUUGAAAGAGAAGGAAUUUCUCUUCAGUUUGCAGGAGCUCAAGAACCUUUCAUAUGCAAAGCCUUUACCAUUGCAGGAACCUGCGAUUUGCCUGCAAAAGCUUUGGUACUUAAUACUGUUCAAUUCAAUGGACAUUUUGGGUGUCUAAAGUGUGAACAGCCAGGUCAAACAGUGAAGACUGGAGAGAGAGGUCAUGUCCAUGCCUUUCCUUUCCAGAAGACAGAUCCAAAAGGCCCGCCUCGUACUCACAAGGGGUUUGUAGAUUAUGCUAAGAUGGCCUAUGAUUCCAACAGCGUUGUUCGUGGGGUGAAGGGACCUACGUUUCUCAGCAGACUAACAAGCUAUGAUUUGGUCUUGGGCACAGGUAUAGACUACAUGCAUUCUGUACUACUGGGAGUAAUGCGUCUAUUGAUGUUUUUGUGGUUUUCCACAGAGUUCUCUCGAUGUGCAUUCAGUAUGGUCAGAUCAAUCAAAGAAGUUGACAAACGUCUGAAAGAAAUAAGGCCAACAUUUAUGAUUCGAUUCCCUCGUUCUGUGUCUUCUCACAGGAUGUUCUUUAAAGCAUCUGAGUAUCGGUCCAUUUUGCUGUUUUUCGGGCCAGUUGUAUUCCGGGGCAUUCUUGCAGGACUGUACUACAACCAUUUCCUGCUCCUUAGUGAAGCAAUCUUUAUUCUUCUGAUGGAGUCAAUAACCCCUGCUCAAAUAGAUCAUGCCGAGAAACUACUCUGGAAUUUCUGUUCUCAAAUGAGUGGACUCUAUGGUGAGCGAUACAUGACAGCCAAUUUGCACUUACUUGUCCAUUUAGCUGAUAGUGUGAGAGCUCUUGGACCUCUGUGGACACACUCUUGCUUUCACUUUGAAGACAAAAAUGGGUACUUGCUCCGUCUUAUACAUGGAACCCAGAAUAUACCUGCCCAAAUGGUAAAUGCUGUAAAGACUAUACAAUCU